CGCGCAGGCGGAUUGGUCAGUCUGUCUUAAAAGUUCGGGGCUUAACCCCGUGAUGGGAUGGAAACUGCCAAUCUAGAGUAUCGGAGAGGAAAGUGGAAUUCCUAGUGUAGCGGUGAAAUGCGUAGAUAUUAGGAAGAACACCAGUGGCGAAGGCGACUUUCUGGACGAAAACUGACGCUGAGGCGCGAAAGCCAGGGGAGCGAAG
rnacentral:rRNA from 1 species